ACUCAAAGGAAUAGACGGGGGCCCGCACAAGCGGAGGAGCAUGUGGUUUAAUUCGAUGAUACGCGAGGAACCUUACCAGGGCUCGAACGCAGGAGGAAUACUCCCGAAAGGAAGUAGCCAGAAAUGGCCGCCUGCGAGGUGCUGCAUGGUUGUCGUCAGCUCGUGCCGUGAGGUGUCAGGUUAAGUCCUAUAACGAGCGCAACCCCUAUUCAUAGUUGCCAGCAUAUUACGGUGGGGACUCUAUGAAAACUGCCUGCGCAAGCAGUGAGGAAGGUGGGGAUGACGUCAAAUCAGCACGGCCCUUAUGUCCUGGGCUACACACGUGCUACAAUGGCCGGUACAGAAGGCCGCAACCACGCAAGUGGAAGCUAAUCCCUAAAACCGGUCUCAGUUCGGAUUGGAGUCUGCAACCCGACUCCAUGAAGCCGGAUUCGCUAGUAAUCGCACAUCAGCCAUGGCGCGGUGAAUACGUUCCCGGGCCUUGCACACACCGCCCGU
rnacentral:rRNA from 1 species